rnacentral:rRNA from 1 species
CCUACGGGAGGCUGCAGUGAGGAAUAUUGGUCAAUGGACGAGAGUCUGAACCAGCCAAGUAGCGUGAAGGAUGACUGCCCUAUGGGUUGUAAACUUCUUUUAUAAAGGAAUAAAACGAGGCACGUGUGCCUUUUUGCAUGUACUUUAUGAAUAAAGAUAGGCUAAAUCCGUGCCAGCAGCCGCGGUAAUACGGAGGAUCCGAGCGUUAUCCGGAUUUGUUGGGUUUAAAGGGAGCCCAGAUGGGUGGUUAAGUCAGUUGGGAAAGGUUGCGGCUCAACCGUCAAAUUGCAAUUGAUACUGGCAGUCUUGAGUACAGUUGAGGUAGGCGGAAUGCGUGGUGUAGCGGUGCAAUGCUUAGAUAUCACGAAGAACCCAGAUUGAGAAGGCAGCUUACUAAACUGUGACUGACAUUGAUGCGCGAAAGUGUGGGUAUCAAACAGGAUUAGAUACCCCUGUAGUC